rnacentral:rRNA from 1 species
GACGAACGCUGGCGGCGUGCUUAACACAUGCAAGUCGAACGGAAAGUCCCUGCUUUUGUGGGGUGCUCGAGUGGCGAACGGGUGAGUAACACGUGAGUAACCUGCCCUCGACUUUGGGAGAACUUCAGGAAACUGGGGAUAACACAGGACAGGAGCUCCUGCUUCAUGGUGGGGGGUGGAAAGUUUCGGCGGUUGGGGAUGGACUCGCGGCUUAUCAGCUUGUUGGUGGGGUAGUGGCUGACCAAGGCUUUGACGGGUAGCCGGCCGGGGAGGGUGACCGGCCACAUUGGGACUGAGAUACGGCCCAGACUCCUACGGGAGGCAGCGGUGGGGAAUAUUGCACAAUGGGCGGAAGCCUGAUGCAGCAACGCCGCGUGCGGGAUGACGGCCUUCGGGUUGUAAACCGCUUUCGCCUGUGACGAAGCGUGAGUGACGGUAAUGGGUAAAGAAGCACCGGCUAACUACGUG